UAUUCAAUUCAACAAUCAUAUGUAGAUCUGUGAUAUAUAAACUAUUUUGUGAUAUAUAGACUAUGUGAUACACACUGUUGCAAUAAAUCCUAGUUUAUUUUCCUUUACAUGGGCUGCAUUUGCAUAUUUUCAGUGAGGAAAAGCUUCCUGGAAACUUGAGAUAGGAGCUGGUGGCACAUGUACAGUUAGUGGGACAUGUAAUAUGAAAUUGGUAAUUAGCAAGUGACUAUUGUAUAUAAUUAGCAAGUGACAUGUAUAUAAGACCCUGGCAGAUCACCUUUGCCUCUUGUUGCUGCAGAUUGAUACUCAUCAUGUUUUCACUAGUCCCAUAUUAAGUGACAUUACAUAUAUAAUGUAGUAGGUCGAUACAAGAAUCAAUGUAUGGAUAAUUUGAUCACUUUUGAAUGUCAUCACUUUUGUGUAUGUGAACCAAGGUAUGACUAAUGUUUGA
rnacentral:lncRNA from 1 species